AUGAGCGACUGCAUGUGGUUGCGCGCGACGGAGUCCCCGACGAAGGCCAUGGACUUGCCGCGGACGAGGCGGAGGAAGGCCGCGGCGUCGAAGCGGGGGAGGUCGCAGCCGUGGGGUUGCCACCGCCACCGGAGGAUGGACUCGAUACCGGGCUUGCCGUACUUCAUGCAGUCCUGCCGAGCGUCGAUCAGCGGGCACGUCGCGUUGGUGUAG
rnacentral:rRNA from 1 species